GUGAAUAUCACAUCCUCUUAUGGCAAUAAUUACAAACGAGGAUGUGGCCACAGGUGAGACCGGUGGAAUGGGAAAUGUAAGAAUCAUGGUGUCCAGUUUUACAACCAAGGUCCAAGGCAUAAUUCAAGCCCAAGCUUCAUAAAUGUAAAUUGCCAUAAGGGUAAAGCUCAUAUGAAUAGCUGUAAUAUCCCCACAAAAUUUUAGGUGGUGAUUAUGAGUAGAUUUCUUGUGGCCAUUAAAAGUUCUCUUACUUUUGAGACCAAGCCAUGGCUUGGAAAAAAAAAAAAAAAAAAAAAAAAAAAAAGGAAAAGCUGACGUUAGAAAAAGGGGAUGGGGUUUCUAAAAACCCCCUCAAUUAGCUGCUUCCCCUUCCAGCCGAAAGAAAUGAAAGGGUUAUCCCUUUUUAGCUCUUAACUUGUCAAAAAAGGAAAUCUAAGGAAGAGGAGUUAGUUUUCUUUGCUUGUGAAGACUAGAACAAGUGAGGAUCUUUCCCUUGUCUCCAUUUAAGGUGUGUAAGGUCGACUAGCUGAGUUUCAAGUGGCAGCUCUAGUGUGGGCUAGUUGAAGGGAGUCCAGGAGUACAUAUCUUUUGGGUGAGCUGCCAAAGUGUUGUAUAGUUAGUCUCUGUCUGUAAUCGAUCCUUGUGUUGUGUAGCAGACUAAGUUGUUGUAGAUCUCAGUGGGUUAGAGUCUCUACUUACUUGGGCUAUGAGAACCAUGUAUAUAUAAUACUACUCAUCUUUUGUCUCGUAUAGUUUUUUUUGGACUGGUGUUAAAGAUAUAUUCCGCUACCUUAAAGGUAUAA